GACGAAGGGGGCUAGCGUUGUUCGGAAUUACUGGGCGUAAAGCGCGUGUAGGCGGUUGCCCAAGUCGGGUGUGAAAGCCUUGAGCUCAACUCAAGAAAUGCACUCGGUACUGGGUGACUAGAGGACCGGAGAGGAUAGUGGAAUUCCCAGUGUAGUGGUGAAAUACGUAGAGAUUGGGAAGAACACCAGUGGCGAAGGCGGCUCACUGGCCCGGUACUGACGCUGAGGCACGAAAGCGUGGGGAGCAAACAGG
rnacentral:rRNA from 1 species